rnacentral:rRNA from 1 species
UACGUAGGGGGCUAGCGUUGUCCGGAAUCAUUGGGCGUAAAGCGCGUGUAGGCGGUCCGGUAAGUCCGCUGUGAAAGUCGGGGGCUCAACCCUCGAAUGCCGGUGGAUACUGUCGGGCUAGAGUGCGGAAGAGGCGAGUGGAAUUCCAGGUGUAGCGGUGAAAUGCGUAGAUAUCUGGAGGAACACCGGUGGCGAAGGCGGCGUUCUGGACUGCAACUGACACUGAGGAACGAAAGCGUGGGGAGCAAACAGG